CAAAUGCCUGGCAGCGUCCUCGGUGCUUCACCUGCCAUAGCCGACAGUGGCUGACCUCCCAUGCCUGUUGCCUUUUCUUUCUGUUGGAUCAGGGAUACACUGCCAUGUGUGUUAAGAAAAGCUGGCCUUACCUACAGGGCUGGCCAGUCCCGGUCACGUUUCUAGUAAGCCAUUGCCUUACAUAAGGGUAACGGCAUGGGACGCUAUCUUAGCCAAUGUGAUAAAAGUGGACAUGAGGUGAGAGGCUUCAGAGAGAGGUUUUAAAAAAGAGACAAAAGCAGGACGUUGCCUCUCUUCCUCCUCUCCACGUGUCCUACCCGGAUGUGAAGCCAAAACAGAUGCAGGCUUAGUGCAACCAUGGGGAACCCAGCAUAAGCACAGAUUCAACAGCAGAAGAGUGGCAGAGGGAGAAGGUGAAAGGAACCUAGGUUUUCCUGUCCUUGUUGAGUCAUUCAGUUAAAAAUCCCUGGAAUUUUCCUCUCUCCGGCAGUGUGUUUUGUGGGAUAAUGAGUUGCCUUAUUGGGGUUGGCUUGCUAGUCGGGAUGUUUCGCUCCCAUCAACAUCCAUACGCUUGCUCUGUGAACCAAUGACCUGAUGAGGUAGUAUUAGCACCACCAUCAUUAUGCUGAGGAUGAGAUUUAUGGCACAGUGGUUCAGUAGCUUGCCCAAGGCCAUGCGGCUGGUAGGUUCUGGAGGAGGGCUCAGGGCACCCCCUGAGCUACCCCUGCUGGCCAUUGCACCACCCCAUAAAGCUGCUGGCAGUCACUUCUCUGAGGGGUUAGCAUGUAAGAAAUGUCCUCCUGAAUGCUGGCCAGACAAAUGGAAAUCUGCCAGGGUUGGGUACCCCCAUGACAGCAGCCAGCCUGCCCUCUUAGUCCCUGACAGCUGCAGUGACAGCAUCUGUGAUUGCAAAGCGUGACAAUUUAUAUCUCUCAUUUCAUCACACCAUCUAUCAGCAGACAGUCAGGCUUUAAAAAUCAAUCCCACACUGACUCAGUCCCCAGCAGAGAUGGCCUCUGACAACAGUAUCCACACUGCAGGCUGGACAAGGGCCCUAUUAAUUUUGAGACUCAGCCAAAUUUCCUUCUGACCCUAAGCUGGUGAAUCCCUGCUCCUUUGCUUUGGUUGGGGUUGGUGUGAGCUAAGGCUGUGAUCCCAUUUGCUCCUAUGGCCUCCAGGUGGCCUGGGCCUCCAUGAAUGGGCCACAUGGUCAUACUGAAUGCUUGAUUACACUCAGACCUAGCAGUCGUCUGGGCGCAGCUGGUUUAUGGAUCACUUUGUCACAAUGUUCCAUCCUUCCAGGUCCCCAUCCCCGCGGUGGGAAAACAUUGCUUUAGGCAGUGCUAGAGGACUUCAGCAGGCAUUGGCAGCUUCUGGAUUCAGGAUUAGAACAAAGAAGGAGGAGUCACAGCAAAGAUAGGAACAGAAGGCAGAGAGAACAGACAGAUGGGGGUGUUUGAGAAGGAGGGCCUUUGAGACCUCAGGGAGUGGGAGACACUGGCUCGAGAAUAAUAAUAAUGGCAAUUUCUCUCAUCUGUGUUUUCAGGGCAUGGACUGGAACUCCCAAUACCCCUGACAUGGGCUGAGUCAACGUGGUCAUGAACAUGUGACAGGAGGCAGCAGAAGUUGCAGAGAAGAGUGAGGCACGUUUGAAAAAGGCUGAAAAAUGUUUCUGUCCAGGCAAGGGUGUGUGCUGAAUGACUCAAGGAUUUUUUGGUGCAUUGAAUGAACAGCGGGACAUUGGACACCUGCUGAUCCAUCACCCCGGGCCCGGGCAGGCCCGUGGAUGAAGAGAGAUGGAGAAGACCAGGCAUGAGACUGUGGAGAAGCCACACCACCAGAAACCCCUGCCCCAUGCGCCGUCCAGCCCACACCUGUGGAUGCACGGGGGAUUGCAGGCAGGGCUCCCACCGUGGACUCAGGAACAGGCAGGGAAGCUGCUGCCUCACCAGGCGAAGGGGCCAGGAGGGGGAGGCGGAGAGGCCCGUCUAGCCCCUGCGGCUGUCACCGUGGUGCCUCCUCACUGGCCAGUGCGGUCGCGCCUCAGCUUCGUUAAUAGGGGAGGGGGCCUAAGAGUUUUCACGUCCAGGCUCGGGCAGUGGGGAGGCAGGCAGGAGUGGCCGCUGGUUUUUCAGACCUCCCAGGGAGGCCGAGGAAAUGGCCCGUCCUGGAGUGGGCGUGGUUCUGUCUUCAGAUGGAUGCUGGAGGGUUGGGCUGCGUGGGACCCUGGGCCCUGCUGCUUCCCGGAGGAUGCGCUGUCCGGGGCUGCACAGGUUGGCUGUGUUUUUUGGAUGCUUGAUAUUUUGUUUUUUCUUCUCUUCACUCUGUCAUGAAACUGGCAAUAGUAGUUUGUAAAUAAAUAUGUGUUAUAGAUGAAUAUUUGCUAUGAGUAAAUUAAUAAAGGAGUGAAUAAAUGAGCGAUUGAUGUAGGGCCUGUCCUGUCUCAGGGAGCCCCACGAAGGCCUGCGCGCCGGCCAGAGCCUGCCUGCCUGCCAGGGUACUGGGACGUCACUCUCAAAGCGGCGGGACCCAGCCGCUGAUCUUGCUGAGGAGGCCCGGUCUCAGAAAACUGAGCGGCUGCUUCUGCAGACCCUGCAUCCUCCCCUCCCUGGAGAAAGAAGCUCUGGCUGAGUCCUGGGACCGAACCCUUGGGUGCCACAGAAACGGGCUUUGCUGCCUGUCAGUCAAGCGGCGGGAGAAACAGACCUGGGGAGGAGGAGGCUGGGAGGGCUGUGUUUUCUGCACAGCGAGUAGCUCCUUAGCCUGGUGCCAUUUCUCUCCAAACACCCUGAAGGUUGAGUCCAGGGUGAAGAUGUAGAGGCAAGUUUUGGGGGGAUGGAGUGGGCUUGGAGGGAUGCUGGCGCCUUAGCAGGCUGUGCUCCUGAGGUGCCCAGUGUCUGCGGGCACAGGAACAUGUUGCCGAGGGCAUUUGGGUGUGGGUGGGGUGGGGAAAGGGAGACAGGGCUGUCUCUUUUAAUGGGUAUCUGCGAGCAUGUGAUUGUAAGAGAGGAAGAAGUAGGGGAGGAAGAAGGCCUCCUUGGGAGGUGCGUCAUCCUGAGGAAGGCUGAACAAUGAGGGUCUUGGAGAGUCAAUUCAGAAGCACAACCUUGCAGAGCAGGCAAAAACAAUAGGGCUUCUUGAGGCUGCCCGGGCACUCAUGCAAUCACCAUUUCCUGCUGUGAAUGAGCCUACAUUUUGUUGGGGAAGAGACGCAACGACGCCAAACGAUGGACUCUGAGUCAACGAUAAGAUGAAACAAAAUUAAAACAAAGUAGGAAAUCAAGAGUGGCUGCUGUGAUGGCGUUGCGGAGAUGAUGUUUGCUUUGAGAACUGGACAAGUGAGCCCCUGAGCUGCAUCUGCACCCAGAGGCUGAGCCGGUGCACAGGACUUGCAGAGGGAUGGGCCUGGGCUUGUAGAGCAGCACAACGGCCCCAGGCCUGGAGGAGCAAGGGUGGGAAGGGGGGCAGGCCAGCUCCUGCCAGGCUGGAGAAGGACUCGGACCUCAGGCCACCUGUGCCUGGGUGAUUGUGAACUUGUAACAAAUGUGAUCUUAUUUAUGUUUUGAAAAAGGCAACACAAACCAACACGAGCCGUGUGAGGAUCAGGUGACAGCUGCCCAAAAGCUGACACAAGGAACAAGCCUGGAGGAGUGAGGAUGGGUGCUGUGAAGGAGGUUGUGCAGCUGGGCCCGCAGUCGGACCUGGUGAGAUCAGAGGAGGGGGUGCCACCAGUCUGUGGACGAAGAUGAGAAGCUGGAAUAGAGCAGAAAACAGGAGGCUGCCACUCUCCAUCUUUCCCAAAGUCACUCCAGGAGCAAGGGUGUCAUUUACUGAAAUGACAGACUCUCCAUUUCACAUUUUUCCCCCAAGUGCAGAGUGCAGGGAAGCAGAUGGGCUAAAUUUUUAGAGUCAGGGUUAUUAAUGUAUACUUUACAUAGUAAACUUUCCCCUUUUAAGUGUGCAGGCCUGAGGUUUGCCAAAUAUGUGUAGGCAUUUAAUCACCACCACGAUCAAGAUGUAGAAUAUUCCCACUAUCAAAAAGUUUGCUGUGUCCCUUGAUGGUCAUGCCCCAUUCCACAGCCCCAGCCCCAGCCCCUGGAGAUUGCUGUCUGCUUUAUGUUCCAGUGGUUUUAUCUUUUCCAGACUGUAUGGAUGUGAAUGGAAUCAGAUGUGAUUCCAAGGUGUUUUAUCUUUUCCAGAUGUGAAUGGAAUCAGAUGUACGAAAUCCUAUGGUAGGGGGUCUUCUGAGUCUAGCUCCUUUUGUUUAGCGUGAUGCAUUUGAAAUUAAUCCAUGUCUCAGGCAUCAGGAGUUCAUUUCUUUUUCUGCUGAGUAGUAUUUCAUUGUAUGGAUGUACUGCAAUUUGCCUAUCCAUUCACCUGUUGAUGUACAUUUGAGAUUUUUGGCAAUUAUGAAUAAAGCUGCUAUAAACAGACA
ensembl:lncRNA B3GAT1-DT B3GAT1 divergent transcript